UAGCCAUGUAACUUAAAGGAGUCCAUGGAU
rnacentral:piRNA from 1 species